AAAAUGCCAAAUCUGAGCUCCUCAGUUUGAGUCCUACAAUCGCUUUUUUAAGUCAGCCAAUGGUGCAAUCAACCCUAUGCCUCAACUGAGCCCCUUGACUGUAUUGCACUGAAGAAGCCUCAUCUAUUCUCGCUGGAGGAUAAGAUGCAAUGUAGGGUACUGAGGUUCUCCAGCUGACAACCAGCACAACAGCCAGACAGGUGAGCAAGGCCAUCUUGGAUUUGCCAACCCUUCAGCUAAGACAGCCCGAUGAAUAAGCUCAGACAAAACCAGCAGUAGAGCUAGUGGGCCAAUCCACAGAAUGAGAAAUAACCAAUAAAAAAUUUUUAAGACACU
rnacentral:lncRNA from 1 species